GUGCGCCGGAAGUGAUCCCCUGCGUGGCUGGGCUGCUCGGGUUAGAUCGUCAGGAAAAGCCUAAAGAUUAGACUGUAAGAAAAGAAAAUAGAAGCCAUGUUUCGAAGACCAGUAUUACAGGUAGUCACUUGUCUGUAUUAAUACUGAGAUGUAUUACUAUCAGCCACAGUGAUCAGAAGACUUCUUUAGGCUUUUAACUACAGGGGCAAAAGACCUUUGAGCUCACCCACCCACCUCUAUACUCAUUUGAUAUGGAGGAUUGGCGACGAUUUUGCCAGUGUAAAUUAUGUUCACUAAAACAAAAAAAAAGUCCAGGUUUAUUCACACGUAAUAGGAAUCAUUAAUUUUUAAAAUGUGUGUGUGUUGCUUGAAUUUAACCAGUGAGAGGACAUUAAAGGUCUUUAGUGACCUAAAGACUGUAGGAAUCAUUGUUCCAACUUUUUUCUUAAGGCAUGUAGUUGCUUUUUUGACCAUCUACCCCCUGUGUUGCUAAACGUUCCUCUUCCCCCAUCUUUCCACACUGAAGAGAGCAUCUCAAGUCUCACUGGUCACCACAGAUUUCACUAUGUAGAAAAUGCCUUCUCAUUCCACUUAGUAUGGGUCCUCACUUUUCCAGACACUAGCCCACCUUGAGCCAGCUUAGACUACCAUUUUUCCUCACUUACCACAUUCGGGCACCAGCUCCUGUAGAUUCUUCUUUGGUUCUCCUACUCCCCAUCCUCCUGUGAAGACCAAUGAAGAAUCAGUUCCUCCAUGACUCUGUCAUUUUCCCCACCGUAAUCCUAUAUUCUUGGAUCCCCACUUUAACCUGUAUGUAUCUUUAAUCUAUUUUUUUCUGUAUUGAAAUGUGAAACAUGAAAAAGUUAUUGCUUCUUAACGCUAACGUUACAGUAUUAAAAUGUCUUUAAAUAAGAGUUAAAAGUUUAAUUUAAAAAAUUAUCCAAGUUAAAUAAUCCUUUCCUAAUCUUCUCCAGUAGAUUUUUGUGUGCCCCAAAUGAGACAUUGUUAUUAUAAAUCUCUGUGUAAGAUUUAUGAGCUCUAGCUUGUCUGAGCACUCAAAUGACAUUUCCAGAAUCAUGACACAGGUUCUCAUUAGCAGUUUGAUUCUAUAGUAUGUUGUACUCAUAUCUUUAUUUUCUUAUCCGCCCUCUGCUCCUAAGUUUAGUGAUAGGAUUAGAUAGCCAACAGCACCCUGGGGAUUGGUGUUUAUUUGAUUGGUGGACUUCUGCUUUUUAUAUUAACAGUACUGCCACUUCAAAAAUGUUUCUCUGAUAGAAUGGCUAGCUCUCUGAGCUCUGAAUUCAGUGAUGUGUACUCCCAUCUUUACAGGAGCUCUUGAAAUUAAGGAGGCAGCAGAGGGCUUUGGGAAAGCAGUAGCAUUGGUGUCAAAGGGCCCUGGGUCCUUGAGAUCACUUGCCACAUACUUCCUGCAGGAGCUUGGGCAGGUGAUGCAGUCUCUCUGAGGUGUUUUCUCAGCCCUAAAUGGGAAUAAUUUUACAUAACUUGUAGAUUUAGUUUUAGAAUUGAUAAUAGAUAAAUCCCUUAGCUGAUAUUCAGUAAUGAUUGCUGCUAUUAUGUGGUAGUGACUACCUUUGCUGACAAUGAUGUGACUUUGACUUGGACAGUCGAGUCUUUGUGUUUAAUCAAAGAACCAAAUUUAUUAGACCUUUUUUGAUGCACUGAAAACAGGAAAUUUCCUAUGAAAUAUUUAUAAAAACUGUAUUAGGCUAAGCUCACUACUGAAGCUGUUUAAUUUUUGCAAUAGCCUUGUGAAGUAGGUAUUAUGUAUCAUAAUUUUUGCUUAUUUUAAAAUGAAACACUUUAGAUUAAUCAUAUUAGGUAUCCUAAUUCCUUUUAAGGUCUGAAGGAGCAACCAGGGGAAGGUAGUUUCAUAGACACAGGGAAUCUGACUUUGGAAUAUGUUCCUGUUGCUGUGUCAGAAAGUCAUUCAUGUGAUUAGUUUUAGAAUGUAUUGUUUUGUUGGAAUGUAACCUAUUUCUCGUUCUCUAAACCAGCAGACCCCAACCUUUUUGGCACCGAUAACUGGUUUCAUGGAAGACAAUUUUUCCAUGGAGGAGGGGGGUGCCGUGGGGAUGGUUUCAAGAUGAAACUGUUCCACCUCAGAUCAUCAGGCAUUAGUUAGAUUCUCAUAAGGAGUGCACACCCUAGAUCCCUCGCAUGAGCAAUUUAUAAUGGGGUUCUGCUCCUGUGAGAAUCUAAUGCUACUGCUGAUCUGACAGGAGGCGGAUCUUGGUCAGUAAUGCUUGCUCGCUGCUUGCUGCUCACCUCCUGCUGUGCAGCCAGGUUCCUAACAGGCCACAGACCUCUACUAGUCCUCAGCCCUGGAGGCUGGGGACUCUCCUCUAACUGGCUGUUCGUUAUGCCUGAGAGUAAGGCUUUGCAUUUAUUCCACACCUCCUGACACUUGUUUGAUCAUUGCAUAUGUUAUUAAUGAAUCUACUUAUUAAAUUAUUAAUUAUAAAGCAUCUCUUUUAACUCUCCUUUGGUCUAAUGAUGGAUUAAAUCAGUACUCAUGUUGGAUCUAAAUUUCUUAAUUUCUAAAGUCUACUGUAACCAAAAUACAGUAAUAAUAUACCAGUUGUUUAUACUAAAAAAAAA
rnacentral:sRNA from 1 species